rnacentral:rRNA from 1 species
AUUGAACGCUGGCGGCGUGCUUAACACAUGCAAGUCGAACGAAGUGGCGAACGGGUGAGUAACGCGUCAUCACCCUGCCCUUCAGAGGGGGACACCAGUUGGAAACGACUGCUAAUCCCGCAUACUGACGGACGGGAUUGCGUCUGAUUAGCUAGUGGGAGGGGUAACGGCCCACCAAGGCGAUGCUCAGUAGCCGGUCUGAGAGGAUGAACGGCCACAUUGGGACUGGUACACGGCCCAGACUCCUACGGGAGGAAGCAGUGGGGAAUCUUCCGCAAUGGACGAAAGUCUGACGGAGCAACGCCGCGUGAGUGAUGACGGCCUUCGGGUUGUAAAGCUCUGUUAAUCGGGACGCGGUACCGGAAUAGAAAGCCACGGCUAACUACGUGCCAGCAGCCGCGGUAAUAC